GGCUUCGCGAUAAUUAAAAAAUUUCGAUCGAGCGCGUUACGGAUCAAUACUUCCCCGAGAGUGCCGAGAGUGCGCCUCGACCUCCAGAUACUUCACACCCCCCGAACGGUGCCGGUACUCCGCGUAUAGCGUGUCUUUUUUUUUUUUUUUUUUUUUAUCCGUGCGCGAAUUUUCCAACGGGAAAUCCAAAAGGGAAUCGGACCGGGGAGGUACUUUGAAGCCGGCCGUUUUUCGAUUUCAUCCAGAGUUUUCCCGGAAAACGCGGAUAACCCGAAACGACGGAGAAAACAAACGGGAAUAUUGAAAUAUCCAAUCCGAUCUAUCGACCCCUAUCAACGUUAAUAAUCCGCGAGUAAAACGUUUGUAACCCGCGGCGAGUUCGUGGGCGUUUCGUCCGGAGGACGCCGCGGAAAGCGUCCGAAAGUAUAGCGAGCAAACGAUACGUACGUCUGCGUGAAUAUAUUGUUAACGUAACGCGGACGUGCGAAAUUCAGCGAUUCUCGGAGAAAACUCGAUGCGGGGAAAUCAUAAUGAUAAACGGUAAUGGGUUCGACGAGGCGCGCAGUGCAUACUGCCGGUAUCCGUUUCGCUCGCUCGGUUUUUUUUACAUAUUUUCC